CAGAGACCUCAAGCGUUAUCCGGAAUCAUUGGGCGUAAAGCGUGCCGAUAGGUGGUUUUGAUAGUUUUGGGUAAAAGCCAGAAGCUCAACUUCUGCGUUUGCUCAAAAUACUUCAAGACUAGAGGGGCAAAGAGGUGCUUGGAACGAAUGGUGUAGUAGUGAAAUGCGUUGAUAUCAUUCGGAACACCGAAAGCGAAGGCAGAGCACUGGGUGCCACCUGACACUGCUAGGACGAGAGCGUGGGUAGCGAAUGGGAUUAGAUACCCCAGUAGUCCACGCUGUAAACGAUGAAUACUAGGCAUGCGCGAGUAUCGACCUCGUGCGAGCCGUAGCUAACGCGUUAAGUAUUCCGCCUGGGGAGUACGGUCGCAAGACUA
rnacentral:rRNA from 1 species